GACGAACGCUGGCGGCGUGCCUAAUACAUGCAAGUCGAACGCAGUGGGGACGGGUGAGUAACACGUGGGUAACCUCCCAUCAGAGGGGAUAACACUUGGAAACAGGUGCUAAACCGAUACUGAUGGAUGGACCCGCGGUGCAUUAGCUAGUUGGUGAGGUAACGGCUCACCAAGGCCACGAUGCAUAGCCGACCUGAGGGCGUGAUCGGGCACACGGGAACUGAGAGACGGACCGACCGCCUACGGGAGGCAGCGGUAGGGAAGCUUCGGAAAUUGACGAAAGUCUGACCGAGAGACGCCGCGUGGGUGAAGAGGGUUUGCGGAUCGUAAGGCUCUGUUGUUAGAGAAGCGGUAUCUAACCAGAAAGCCACGGCUAACUACGUGCCAGCCGCCGCGGUAAUAC
rnacentral:rRNA from 1 species